UCAAUGCAAUCAAUACGUAGUUUCUAAAACAAAAGUUUCUAUGUGUAGACAUUAAUGAAACUUCAAAAUAUAAUUCAGAAACAGUUUCUUAAUACUACGUUCACACCUUCGUGUUUUUUGAAACACAUCAUGUUUUUUCAAAAAACACUUCAAAUUCGAGUCGUUUUCCCAUAUAUUUUUCAAGUUCAAAAACAUCUUAAUUCGACAAGUUUAAUUCUAAAACACAUACGUCUUAUUGUAAUUUAAGUGAAAAUCUAAAUUUUUAAAACAAAAUGUGUUACGGUCUCAGUACCGGUCGUCAAACUAAACCGGCCCUACUAACUUCUGCGGCUUCUUCUCGGGGAGUAGUUCUCAACCCUGAUACGACUGAGUCACGUACAAAAUUAUUAAGAGUAUCAAAACCAACAACUUACAAACAAUCAAAUUAUUUUGAGCAAAUAUAAAUAGGGAGAUAGAUGUACACCUCCAAUCGCCCUUACCGCCGCAUAGUCUCCAACACAUCUUCCAUUACGGACCCCGUUACCCAUCUCUUUCCGCCUUAUCUAGAUCAACAAUCCCCAAAAUUAAUACACUCACUCAAUGUUUUUCAUCAUCACUUAUAAUAUUAAAACAUUUAUUAACACAAAUAACUUAAAAUUAGACUAUAUCUAUCCAUAUUAAAAAUUUGCGUUAAUAAAGAUAAGUUUUUAACUUUCUUCAAAUUUAAAACUAAAAAAAUAAUAACUACAAAUAACAUUAAAAUAAAUACGAUUAUAACUUAAUAAUAACAUAAAUUUAUUUAGACAUACACAUAGAUAAAAACCCAACACUAUUAACUAAAGGAUUGGACUUAUUCUGGAAAUGGCUUUUCACUUUAAUUAAGCCGAAUUUAUUACCGAAUUCUAUCUACCCUAAAAGUGCUCUCUGAAGGAUCAGAUAUUAAUAUUAGCAUUAACUAUGCUUGGCGAGGAAUAAUUUAUUUUACCUAUUAGUGCAAACCCUUGUACACUCAGAACAUAAAAGAAAACACGGUCACAAUUUAUUAUCUUAAACUAUCUUAAUCUACCCUAUUAAAUCUUAUAUUAUUUGUUUUUUUUUUUUGUAUUUUAUCUUAUCUUAUUACUACCCUGACACGGAAAACAGUUUUACGAUAUUGACAGUGAAAAUUUUCUUACUGGGGCGAUACCUAAAAGCUCACACCAGAAUUUAUAGGUUUGUGCAUUGGAACACCCUAGACAAUUUUCGGAGUUAUCAGUAUGUUCUUUCGGAAUUUUUGUAUGCCACUUAUUAACAGAAGCUUUUCUACUAUUGUUUGCAGAGAAUUUCCAAUAACAGCUAACAAUUUCCCUUAUUCUUAUUUCGGGAUGCCACUUCUGCCCACUAGACUUCAUAUAUUCGUUACCUUUUUAUGUUUUUUAAAUCGCAAUUUAAAAUCUUCAGCCAUUAGACCUUGAAUAAAAUCUUCAGCCGUUAGUCCUUGAUAAAAAUCUUCAGCCACUAGUCCUUGAUUAAAAUCUUCAGCCGCUGGUCCUUGCUGACGUUCGGUGUUUUCCACAAUAUUCCGUAUACCAGGGAAUUUCUAACAGACAAAAAUUAACCAUUAACACCAAAACUUCACACACUCUUUCAUUCAAAUAACAACUUACAUUGACUUUUCACUAACACUUUCUAUAAUAUUAUUUUAUUUAAUUAUAAUUAUACUUUAAGUUUUUCGUUGCAAAGUUUUACUUAAUAAAAUUUAAAAUUUGACCUUUAUAGAAAACUUCAGCUAACUCCACUGAGUGCCAGUAAUUAUUUAAUUUUCAACUAUUAUUUUACUUUGCGUUAGACCUUUAACUACAAGUAUACGUAAACUUACAAAAGUAAAACCUAAGCAAAUAAAAAAAAACAAUUACCGGUGGAUAACAUUAACACAAAAAAAUGAAAAAAAACAAAACCUAUACACAAAAAACGAUACCGGUGGUUAACAUAAACACACAGUAAACAGCGGAAAGGUCAACGUACGCUCUUCUUAGACCUUAAAAUCUACCGCAUUUGCACUUCUAAACAACAGAAAAUUUUCUCUUAAAUCUGCCCACCAACAACUCUUAAGACAUAGUCUGGCAACUUCUAAUCUUAUAAAAAAGUACAACACUACAUUUUCAUCCCAUAACAAUACUUCCAGUCUGCAUAUUUAUUUGACAAACCAGAAACAAGAACAAGACAACUGACAUAACUAACCAAAACAAAUCAAAUCUAAAUAACCAUUCAAUGCUUUCCUCAAUUUUUUUCUUUUUUAAAUUACUUGUCCCAACAACACCUACAACACUUUAGGAAGAAUGUGAACAUAUAUAAAGAAAAACAAUUCAACCCCCUGACAAAACACAUCAAUGCAGAACACAACAACUAAAAGACUGGGACAUUCGCAACCGCAUUCGUGAAGCAAAUUCAACCCGCAACAAAUGUUUAAGUCGGAAAAAC